UACGUAGGGUGCAAGCGUUGUCCGGAAUUAUUGGGCGUAAAGAGCUCGUAGGCGGUCCGUCACGUCGGCUGUGAAAACCCGGGGCUCAACCCCGGGCCUGCAGUCGAUACGGGCGGACUAGAGUUCGGAAGGGGCAACUGGAAUUCUCGGUGUAGCGGUGAAAUGCGUAGAUAUCGAGAGGAACACCUGCGGCGAAGGCGGGUUGCUGGGCCGACACUGACGCUGAUGCGCGAAAGCCAGGGGAGCGAACGGG
rnacentral:rRNA from 1 species